rnacentral:lncRNA from 1 species
ACGAACCUCUUGAGAUGUGAGAGAAUCUCUACCCUAAUCUUACCUUAGACGUUGCUCACCUAAGAAAUCAACUCUAUUAUAUAGAAGAACCAGAUUGAACAAUUGAAAAUGAAAAUUGAAAAGACAAUAGAGGUUCACAGAUAGCAAGGUGAGUUCUUGAGGUUUGAUCGAUCCUCAAGGAUAGGAUCGUCUAGGUCGUCUUGUGUAGAUGACAGUUCGCUUCAUAACAAAA